rnacentral:lncRNA from 1 species
CCCAUGUUCACCGCUAUUUACUAUUUAUAAAGGUUGAUUGUAAAUUGCAAAAUCAUUCACAAAAGUGGACAGUAUUGGUUUCCUACUCAAAACAGGGCCAGGUCUCUAUUUUACCGUUUUGAUCCUUUCAAUUCAAUUCUCAAUUGUCUUCAAUGUGACACAAGUCUCAGAAAAUCAAAUGGGUACAUUAUCUAUGAACAAGAACAACCUAAAUGGAAGCAAGAUUGAAAAGUGGAAGCAAAAAGAGUUGUCUUUUCUUGUGGCAUAUUCAAUUGUUUUCUUUAUCAUCUUCAUCGCCCGUUCCCUUCAACUUUCUCUUGAUCAUUACACCCAACUUUAUGGCUUGCGCCAAGAAUGGCUCAUACCCAAUCACCUUAAUGUAUAUGAUCUUUCUAUCUUGUUAGAAGAAAAGAAUGAUUUUGAUAAAGAAAAGAAGAAUGUAGAAGCAGUUACAAAUUGUUCAACAUUGCAGAGAAAAAAAAAAUGGAUGAUUGAAGUGAAUGAGUUCUUGCUUUGCUUUUUGGUUCUUAUUUCAAUGAAGAUGAAAUUAGUUUUGGUCUGUCGUUUUUAGUUCUUUCUGUUUCUUCCCUGAGUCGUUUUGUUCUUUAGAUGUUUCGGGUUAACCAAAGGUUACUAUAAAUAACUGUUUUACCCUCUUUUUCAGUGUUAUUGUUCCUUUAUGUCAAAAAACAAAACCCUAAAACCGUUACAGCGAAGCAGAAAUAACAGAAAUAUGAAUCAAAGUGUAAGAACUAGGGUUAACCCGAAACAUCUAAAGAGGGUAAAACAACUACAACUAUCAUAAUCAAGAUAAUAAAACGUUUUUUUUCUUCUUCUUUGAUUGGCAUGGAGAUGAAAAAUCAACAAGUUCUUUGAGUUUUCAUCAAUGGAGGUUUCUAUUCUUUAACAAUGGUAUCAAGAGCAAACAGUUUCACCUUCACAUCUCUGAUAAACAGAAGCUAUCAGUGAUUCAAAUCACUUCCUCUCUUUCGUCCCUUCUUCCAUUCUUCUUCUUCUUCAAUCGCAUCUCCUCAAUGUCAUCAAGCUCCGCAUCUCUGGAAAUUCUUCAAAUUAAUUCUCUUUGGGUUCUUGCUGUCCAGUUCUCACAUUUUCUUUGAAUUAAAUCAAGUUUCAGUCCUAAACUUUACGUGGCUAAA